CGGCGGACGGGUGAGUAACGCGUGGGAACCUGCCCAGGGCUCUGGGAUAACUGCUGGAAACGGCAGCUAAUACCGGAUACGCCGUAUUGGGAAAGAACUUCGGCCUUGGAUGGGCCCGCGUUGGAUUAGCUAGAUGGUGGGGUAACGGCCUACCAUGGCGACGAUCCAUAGCUGGUUUGAGAGGAUGAUCAGCCACACUGGGACUGAGACACGGCCCAGACUCCUACGGGAGGCAGCAGUGGGGAAUCUUAGACAAUGGGGGCAACCCUGAUCUAGCCAUGCCGCGUGAGUGAUGAAGGCCUUAGGGUUGUAAAGCUCUUUCAGCAGGGAAGAUAAUGACUGUACCUGCAGAAGAAGCUCCGGCUAACUCCGUGCCAGCAGCCGCGGUAAUACGGAGGGGGCUAGCGUUGUUCGGAAUUACUGGGCGUAAAGCGCGCGUAGGCGGAUCGGUCAGUUGGGGGUGAAAGCCCGGGGCUCAACCUCGGAACUGCCCUCAAAACUACCGAUCUAGAGUUCGGGAGAGGUAAGCGGAAUUCCCAGUGUAGAGGUGAAAUUCGUAGAUAUUGGGAAGAACACCAGUGGCGAAGGCGGCUUACUGGACCGAUACUGACGCUGAGGUGCGAAAGCGUGGGGGAGCAAACAGGAUUAGAUACCCUGGUAGUCCACGCCGUAAACGAUGGGUGCUAGAUGUCGG
rnacentral:rRNA from 1 species